GGAGGAAAGUAGGGGAUCGAAAGACCUCAUGCUUUUGGAGCGGCCGAUGUCUGAUUAGCUAGUUGGUAAGGUAAUGGCUUACCAAGGCAACGAUCAGUAGUUGGUCUGAGAGGACGACCAGCCACACUGGGACUGAGACACGGCCCAGACUCCUACGGGAGGCAGCAGUGGGGAAUUUUGGACAAUGGGCGCAAGCCUGAUCCAGCAAUGCCGCGUGAGUGAAGAAGGCCUUCGGGUUGUAAAGCUCUUUCAGUUGAGAAGAAAAGAUUCUGGCUAAUACCCAGAAUUCAUGACGGUAUCGACAGAAGAAGCACCGGCUAACUACGUGCCAGCAGCCGCGGUAAUACGUAGGGUGCAAGCGUUAAUCGGAAUUACUGGGCGUAGAGGGUGCGCAGGUGGUUUUGUAAGUCAGAUGUGAAAUCCCCCGGCUUAACCUGGGAAUUGCGUUUGAAACUACAAGGCUAGAAGGGCGAAUUCCGUUAUAACCCA
rnacentral:rRNA from 1 species